rnacentral:rRNA from 1 species
UUUCCGUAGGUGAACCUGCGGAAGGAUCAUUACAGAGUUCAUGCCCGAAAGGGUAGACCUCCCACCCUUGUGUAUUAUUACUUUGUUGCUUUGGCGAGCUGCCUUCGGGCCUUGCAUGCUCGCCAGAGAAAACCAAAACUCUUUUUAUUAAUGUCGUCUGAGUACUAUAUAAUAGUUAAAACUUUCAACAACGGAUCUCUUGGUUCUGGCAUCGAUGAAGAACGCAGCGAAAUGCGAUAAGUAAUGUGAAUUGCAGAAUUCAGUGAAUCAUCGAAUCUUUGAACGCACAUUGCGCCCCUUGGUAUUCCGGGGGGCAUGCCUGUUCGAGCGUCAUUUCAACCCUCAAGCUUAGCUUGGUAUUGAGUCUAUGUCAGUAAUGGCAGGCUCUAAAAUCAGUGGCGGCGCCGCUGGGUCCUGAACGUAGUAAUAUCUCUCGUUACAGGUUCUCGGUGUGCUUCUGCCAAAACCCAAAUUUUUCUAUGGUUGACCUCGGAUCAGGUAGGGAU